rnacentral:snRNA from 1 species
AUACUUACCUGGCAGGGGAGAUAGCCAUUGCACUCUGGAUGUGCUGACCCCUGUGAUUUCCCCAAAUGUGGGAAACUUGACUUCAUAAUUUAUGGUAGUGAGGGACUGUGUUCAUGUUUACCCCUG